CCUACGGGUGGCUGCAGUGGGGAAUAUUGGACAAUGGGGGGAACCCUGAUCCAGCCAUGCCGCGUGUGUGAAGAAGGCCCUCGGGUUGUAAAGCACUUUCAGUGAGGAAGAACGCCUGGUGGUUAAUACCCAUCAGGAAAGACAUCACUCACAGAAGAAGCACCGGCUAACUCCGUGCCAGCAGCCGCGGUAAUACGGAGGGUGCGAGCGUUAAUCGGAAUUACUGGGCGUAAAGCGCGCGUAGGUGGCUUGAUAAGCCGGUUGUGAAAGCCCCGGGCUCAACCUGGGAACGGCAUCCGGAACUGUCAAGCUAGAGUGCAGGAGGGGAAGGUAGAAUUCCCGGUGUAGCGGUGAAAUGCGUAGAGAUCGGGAGGAAUACCAGUGGCGAAGGCGGCCUUCUGGACUGACACUGACACUGAGGUGCGAAAGCGUGGGUAGCAAACAGGAUUAGAUACCCCAGUAC
rnacentral:rRNA from 1 species